rnacentral:rRNA from 1 species
GACGAACGCUGGCGGCGUGCUUAACACAUGCAAGUCGAACGGUGAAGCGCCUUCCUUUUUGGUGGGUGUGGAUGAGUGGCGAACGGGUGAGUAACACGUGAGUAACCUGCCCCCUUCUUCUGGAUAACCGCAUGAAAGUGUGGCUAAUACGGGAUAUUCUGGGUCUGUCGCAUGAUGGGUCUGGGAAAGAUAUUGUUUCGGUGGGGGAUGGGCUCGCGGCCUAUCAGCUUGUUGGUGGGGUGAUGGCCUACCAAGGCGGUGACGGGUAGCCGGCCUGAGAGGGUGGACGGUCACACUGGGACUGAGACACGGACCAGACUCCUACGGGAGGCAGCAGUGGGGAAUAUUGCACAAUGGGCGCAAGCCUGAUGCAGCGACGCCGCGUGGGGGAUGGAGGCCUGCGGGUUGUGAACCUCUUUCGCCAGUGAAGCAGGCCUGCCUCGUUUGUGGGUGGGUUGACGGUAGCUGGAUAAGAAGCGCCGGCUAACUACGUG